CAGCAGCCGCGGUAACACCGAGGGUGCGAGCGUUAAUCGGAUUUACUGGGCGUAAAGCGUGCGUAGGCGGCUAAUUGAGUCGGAUGUGAAAUCCCCGAGCUUAACUUGGGAAUUGCAUUCGAUACUGGUUAGCUAGAGUGUGGGAGAGGAUGGUAGAAUUCCAGGUGUAGCGGUGAAAUGCGUAGAGAUCUGGAGGAAUACCGAUGGCGAAGGCAGCCAUCUGGCCUAACACUGACGCUGAGGUACGAAAGCAUGGGGAGCAAACAGGAUUAGAUACCCGGGUAGUCCCUGUCUCUUAUAC
rnacentral:rRNA from 1 species